UACGGGGGGUGCGAGCGUUGUCCGGAAUCACUGGGCGUAAAGGGCGCGUAGGUGGCGUGAUAAGGGUGUGGUGAAAGCCCGGGGCUCAACCCCGGGUCUGCCAUGCCGACUGUCAGGCUAGAGUACUGUAGGGGCAGGCGGAAUUCCGGGUGUAGCGGUGGAAUGCGUAGAUAUCUGGAGGAACACCGGUGGCGAAGGCGGCAUCCUGGACCGAGAUUGACGCUGAGGCGCGAAAGCCAGGGGAGCAAACGGG
rnacentral:rRNA from 1 species